rnacentral:tRNA from 1 species
GCGCCGGAGGUGCAACGGCGUAAGGCACACCCGACCGGUCAGCAGAAGUGCGGGUUCGAAUCCCGCCUGGCGCU